UUGACAGAGAGACAGGUGGUGCAUGGUUGUCGUCAGCUCGUGUCGUGAGAUGUUGGGUUAAGUCCCGCAACGAGCGCAACCCUUAUUUUUAGUUGCCAGCAGGUAAGGCUGGGCACUCUAGAGAGACUGCCGGUGACAAACCGGAGGAAGGUGGGGAUGACGUCAAAUCAUCAUGCCCUUUAUGUCCUGGGCUACACACGUACUACAAUGGCCUGUACAAAGGGUAGCGAAGCCGCGAGGUGAAGCCAAUCCCAAAAAGCAGGUCUCAGUUCGGAUUGUAGGCUGCAACUCGCCUACAUGAAGUCGGAAUCGCUAGUAAUCGCGGAUCAGCUACGCCGCGGUGAAUACGUUCUCGGGCCUU
rnacentral:rRNA from 1 species